GAGCUGUCUGUCUUUUCCAUCUGGGCUGCAGACUGAGCUGAGGAGGGCAGAGGCAUGUUCCAGGGCAGGGCACAUGCUGGACUUCGGAGGCCAGUGUGCAUAGAGAGUCUAGCCAUCCUCGCAAAAACUCAGCACAUGUCACAUGCUGGGGGGCAGAACAGCGGGUGUGCUGUCUGGAGGUCUCCUCCUGGAAUGCUGGUUGCCUAGCAACAAGAU
ensembl:misc_RNA